rnacentral:rRNA from 1 species
AACGAACGCUGGCGGCAUGCUUAACACAUGCAAGUCGAACGGCAGCACGGCCGGGUAACCGGUGGGUGGCGAGUGGCGGACGGGUGAGUAACACGUAGGAAUCUGCCUGGUAGUGGGGGAUAACCCGGGGAAACUCGGGCUAAUACCGCAUACGCUCUAAGGAGGAAAGCGGGGGAUCGCAAGACCUCGCGCUAUCAGAUGAGCCUGCGUCCGAUUAGCUAGUUGGCGGGGUAAAGGCCCACCAAGGCGACGAUCGGUAGCUGGUCUGAGAGGACGAUCAGCCACACUGGAACUGAGACACGGUCCAGACUCCUACGGGUGGCAG